rnacentral:rRNA from 1 species
UUCCGGUUGAUCCUGCCGGACCUGACUGCUAUCGGAUUGAUACUAAGCCAUGCAAGUCUUUGUAGUAAUACAAGGCAUACGGCUCAGUAACGCGUAGUCAACCUACCCUAUGGAUGGGGAUAAUCUCGGGAAACUGAGCAUAAUACCCAACAGAUCAUCAAUUCUGGAAUGGUUGAUGAUUCAAAUGAUUUUUCGCCAUAGGAUGGGACUGCGACCUAUCAGCUUGUUGGUGAGGUAAUGGCCCACCAAGGCAAUUACAGGUACGGGCUCUGAGAGGAGAAGCCCGGAGAUGGGUACUGAGACAAGGACCCAGGCCCUAUGGGGCGCAGCAGGCGAGAAAACUUUGCAAUGUGCGAAAGCACGACAAGGUUAAUCCGAGUGAUUUCUGCUAAAGAAAUCUUUUGCAAGUCAUAAAACCACUAGUGAAUAAGGGGUGGGCAAGUUCUGGUGUCAGCCGCCGCGGUAAAACCAGCACCUCAAGUGGUCAGGAGGAUUAUUGGGCCUAAAGCAUCCGUAGCCGGCUCUGUAAGUUUUCGGUUAAAUCCAUGUGCUCAACGCAUGGGCUGCCGAAAAUACUGCAUAGCUAGGGAGUGGGAGAGGUAGACGGUACUCGGUAGGAAGGGGUAAAAUCCUUUGAUCUAUCGAUGACCACCUGUGGCGAAGGCGGUCUACCAGAACACGUUCGACGGUGAGGGAUGAAAGCUGGGGGAGCAAACCGGAUUAGAUACCCGGGUAGUCCCAGCUGUAAACGAUGCAGACUCGAUGAUGCAUUGGCAUAUAGCCAGUGCAGUGUCGCAGGGAAGCCGUUAAGUCUGCCGCCUGGGAAGUACGUACGCAAGUAUGAAACUUAAAGGAAUUGGCGGGGGAGCACCACAAGGGGUGAAGCCUGCGGUUCAAUUGGAUUCAACGCCGGG